UACCUCUAGCUACUUUUCCUUUUAAUCUUUUUCCCCUCCAAUAUCUUUCUUUGGUUGUGUUUCUUCAUUUCUUUCUUCUUUCCACAUACAGUUAACAUGAACAUCUCUACAAAUAUCCCCCUUUUUUCCUCCCAGGUACUGUCUCUGCUUUUUCCAUUUUUUUUACUUCAGAUAUGUCUUCCUGUGAUUGCUAUUUUUGCUGAUGAACAGAUCAUCAAAUUGUGUGUUGAAUGUAUUAAAAUUCCAAUGACCUCUUCCAGUCUUGUACAUACUGAAUACUUAAUUGAUUCAGGUGUUGCUCCUGAAUUCAGGCAUCAGUGGGAUUCUUCAGCUGCAAAAUGAAAAACAGAACCUGAUGGAACAGAUAGCUGAGAUCUCAAAAAUACGGAGUGUAACAAGAAUUCAGUGAGAUGGAAUGGAUCCCGAACUGUGUCUAAGUUGAAUUUAACUCUUGGCUGUGGUGGAUUUUCAAAAUUUAAGAAACAGGAUCACGGAAUGAUUGAAAAGGAUAUUAAAGACUGUCCAGUCCAAACCCUCCCCCACCAUGGGCAGAGACACCUUCUGCUACACCAGGUUGUUUGAAGCCCCAUUUAACCUGGCCUCGAACACUGCCAGGAAUGGGGCAUCCACAACUUUUCUGGGCAACCUGUUCCAGUGCCUCACCACCCUCACAGCAACAAUUUCUUUCUUAUAUCUAAUCUAAACCUACUGUCUUUAAAGACAUUAACCCUUGUCCCAUCAUGACAUGCCCUUGUAAAAAUUCCAGUUCUCUUGUCACCCUUUAGGUACUGAAAGGUGCUGUAAGGUCUCCACAGAGCUUUCUCUUCUCCAGGCUGAGCAACACCAACUGUCUCAACUUUUCCUCAUAGGAGAGGUGCUCCAUUCCUCCAGUCAUCUUCAUUGAGCUUCUCUGCACUCGCUCCAGCAGGUCCACAUGCUUCUUAUGGUGGGGAUCCCAGGGCUGUCUGCAGUAGAUGUGAGAUCUCAUGAGAGCAGAAUAGACAUGGAGAAUCACCUUCCUUGACCUGCUGGCCAUUCUGCUUUUGAAGCAGCCCAGGAUACAGUUGGCCUUCUGGGCUGCAAGAGCACAAUGCCAUGUCACAUUGAGCUUCUCGUCAGCCCACACCACCAAGUCCUUCUUGGCAGGGCUGCUCUCAGUCCAUUCUCUACCCAGCCUGUAUUUGUGCUUCGGAUGUCCCCAAAUCAGAUGCUGGACCGUGCACUUGGCCUUGUUGAAAUUCAUGAGGUUCAUACAGGCCCACAUCCCAAGCCUGUCAAGGUCCUUCUGGAUGGCAUCCCUUCCAUCCAGUGUGUCAAACUCACCACACAGCUCAGUGUCACCAGAAAACUUGCUGAGGGUGCACUCGAUCACACUGUCUGUGUUGCCAACAUAGAUGUUAAACAGCACUGGUCCCAAUCUUGACCUCUGAGAAAUUAUUUUUUAUUAAGUAUUUGAUGUAGUAUUAUUCAGUAGAAAUAAUUUCAUCCCCUAGUAUUACCUGAUUUUUCAGAGGGUUAGGGAACAUACAGUUUCAAGUAAAAUAAGAGGAGCUAAAAGUUCUUCUGAAAAUCACUCAUGUCUACUACUACCUUCAGUCAGUUGUUGGAUUAUGAUAUGAUAUUUUCUUCCAAGGUUCAUACUUGUGUCAAAGUUUUAACAAAAAUUCAGUCCUGAUUCACUGGAAUGUUUAAGCAUACACUUAUUAUUGAAAUCUGUAGUCAAGGAAAACAUCCACAAGCUUGGUUUGAUACAUAUGCUUAAGUUUUUUUGCAAGAAAUUUUAACAAGUGCUUGAAAUGAUCAUCAUUUGCCUACUCAAAAUGAAGUAAAAAAGAAUAAAUUACUUUCAUUUAAAUAAGAUAUUUCUAGACUGCCAAGAACAUAUCGAAAUACAAAACUGUUAAUUCUUAGAAAGGACCAUUGAAACUUCUACCUAAAUCAAAUUCAAUAUUGGAGAUUUCAAAACAUUUUCAAUCCUACUAAUUCUCAUCAGACAUUCAUUACUGAAUUCCUAUGUGCAACUUAAAAAUUUUGCUCUGAUCAUGAUCAAUCAGAAAGAGGGAUUUACAGUUAUUGAAAGUGAGAAAAUACUUAGAGUUACCUAAGACAUCAAAAAUUUUCUGAAUAAAGCAGUUAGAACACAUUAGAUGUAAGACAGCAAUUUUUUAAAGAAGACAGAAGUACUCACUCUGCUUCAUAAUAAGACAGUAAAAAAGAGUGAAGAACUCAGUAAUGUAAUGCUUGAAAUUGUAAGAUAUUGAGAUUUGUUAGAUAAAAAGUGGGGGGUGGAUGUUUCCUCAGAGUAAAAUAUUUUUAUUAAAUUUUAAAACUCCUGUGUUGUUUAAGACAGGACUGAAAAUAAACAAACAAAAAGAAGCAGAAGUUGUCAUAUUUAUUCUGGUUUAAGUUAUAAAGAGCUGUGAUGCUUUCUUUUCUAAAUUUCAAUAUUUUUUAAAAAUUGCAAAUGAAAGAAAAUUCAUGUUACCUGGAAAAAAAUAGUAUACAACUGCAAAUCUACUAACAUAAUAAUUCCAUUUUUUGGAAUUCAUAAGCAGUUUAAGGUUCAAAUCUGCAUGUCAACUAAAUUCAGAAAGAUAUAAUAAUCAAAAAAAAAAAAAGAGGAGCUCGAUUGAUUUCCAUAUGGUUGCACUUUGGCAUAGAUUUCUUGUUGGGUACACCACUGAAAAGGAUCUUAAUUGUUUAUUGAUUUAAUUUAGGAAGUCAAUUACCUGCUUUGAUAGAAUCAAAUUAAGGAGUUCAAGCAACAACUGGUCUAUCUAUUUUUUCAGUAAUAGUAUCUUGUAAGAAUAAGAGAGUUUCUGACAAGGGUUAAUCCAUCAUGGGAAAAUUUUUCAGUCACAAAAGUUCUUGUUAAACUGAAAGUUUGAAAAAAAGCUACUUUUUCAUCUGGGACUCCGCUUACUGUUAAACAAUUUCACAAAAAAUUGGACUGAUUUGGUAUCUCUUCUUAUGGAAAUAACAGUAAUGUGGUUCUUUGAGCCAUCUCACUAAUUUCAAUACUAGAAAAAAGUGGAAUUUAGAUCGUAAGAAGUCACAUGAAUUGAACUAAAAAUGAGUUAUAUGAAUCUCAGAAUAGACUCACUUUAAAUUUUAACUGAUUUUUUUUGCCUGAAUUAUGAAAGUUUUUAGGUCUGCAUUAACUAAUAUGCUGUUUGCAGUACAAUCUGACUAAGUGAACUCUGUUGGUAGAUUGUGUAUUGGUUUAGGAUCUUGUUUUUAAAUAUUUUGCUAGGUGGACAAAUGAGACAAACAUCUCCAUAGAAUGUAUUUUUUCCUUAGGUAUAAAGAUAAGCAGAGCUCCAGCCAGGGCCAAGGGAAAGUGCUUCGCACCCAAGGCAUAGGACAAAGGUGCCCAACUCAGCUUUCUCACAGUGAUUUCUCUCAGCAGUAUGAUUCAUGGUGGCCCAGCUGCACCAUUAGCAAAGCUGACCUUGAGCACAAGCAGCCAUAGUCGAGGUGGAUAAAGGUUGCAGUUUGAAAGUUUGCUCAGGGCCCUAAAAAUAACUUAAUGUUUCAAAUAUUUUUCUUCACUCCCAUGACUUUCUUUGCUAAUGAUUCUAUUACUCAAAGAAAGAGGAAAAUAUGUAUUUUGUUGAGAGACAUUCAAUGUGUGGAAUGUCUC